ensembl:lncRNA
GACCUUCUAGGACCUGAGCCUCCUCAGAGCCGAGACCUCAGACCCGAACCACCUCAGACCCGAACCUCCUCAGAGCCGAGAGCUCCUCAGACCCGAACCUCCUCAGGCCCGAAUCUCCCCGGACCCGAGACCUCCUCAGAGCCGAACCUCCCCAGACCCGAACCGCCUCAGGGCCGAACCUCCCCAGACCCGAACCGCCUCAGAGCCGAGACCUCCUCAGACNNNNNNNNNNNNNNNNNNNNNNNNNNNNNNNNNNNNNNNNNNNNNNNNNNNNNNNNNNNNNNNNNNNNNNNNNNNNNNNNNNNNNNNNNNNNNNNNNNNCAGACCCGAACCGCCUCAGAGCCGAACCGCCUCAGACCCGAACCCCUUCAGGCCCGAAUCUCCCCGGACCUGAGACCUCAGACCCGAACCUCUUCAGGCCCGAAUCUCCCCGGACCUGAGACCUUCUAGGACCUGAGCCUCCUCACACCGGAACCUCCUCGGAGCUGAGACUGCCUCACACCCAAGACCUCCUCAGACCCGAACCUCCUCAGAGCCGAACCUCCCCGGACCUGAGGCCUUCCUGGACCGGAACCGCCUGGGACACCUCGGCUGCCCUGGCCUAAGCGUGAGGGGCGCGCCCCGGGGCCCUGCUGGGCGGAGGCAGCGGCGGAGGGCCAGGUUCCAAGGAGCCGCCGGGGCACCCCGAGGAGUCAGCCGGUGGAAGGACGGCGGCCUCCCGGAGAUGGACGCGUGCGCGUGCAGGAGGCAGCCAUGGGGGCGCUGGCCGUGCACCCGGCCCCCUCGGCAGUCGUGGGCCCUGCCUGUGCCUACCGUUCCCUCUGGGGAGCCCAGCACGUAAGGGACCCCGCCUGCCGGCCUGACCGGAGGGCCCCCUGGCUGGAGUUCCCCGACCCUGUGGUUCCAGGCGGGUGCCCUUUGCCAACCAUCCUUGGACGGGGUAGCCCCCUCCAGCUGCCUCAGGGCCGUCCAUCUGGGCCUGGGGCGUCUGCAGCUUUGACCCCCCUCGUGGGGAGCCAGCCCUCAGGCCCUUGGUUUCCCAGGGUGUUUCCUUACCCUGUGGGACCCCCACCCCCAUACUCCUCACUCCUUCCAGCGCCUGCUAUGGGUGCCCCAGGGCCUCAUGCCCAGAUUGGGUGUGUGGGGAGCCAGCACUCGGCCCCCUGGACCCCCAGGGUGUUUCCUUACCCUGUGGAGCCCCCACCCCCAUACUCCUCGGCCCCUCCAACUCCAGGUGGGGACACCCCCGAGCCCGGUGCCCACCGGGGGUGGCAGCCUCCGCCCUGCUCAGCCCGCCUGACUGCAGUGGGGAGACCGUCCAGAGCUGCUUCCCACGUGAAGAUGACGCUGGAAGUCCUUCCCUCAGGAGGGCUGUCCAGGUUCAGCAUUUGGGCCCCCAAACCACUCUGCAGCCCAGAACUCUGCCCUCUGCCCCCUUCCCCCUGCGUGGACCCUCAGCCGGAACCCCAGGGUCCCCGCCCCCACGCCCAGGCUCCCGGGCCCGCCCCGCCUCUUCUAGCUCUGAUACGUGCUUGGAAACCAUGCCCUCCGGUGCUUAGGGGCCGUGGCGUCCAAUGAGCCCUGCUGUGCCCGCCGCCCAGAUACCUUCCAGAUCUGCUGUGACAGAUGGGGCGCACGGGCCAUUCUUAGUAAACGUGUGAUAAUGGGCGUCUUACAUUCAAAGAAACGAUGCUGUGCUGCCAGCUGGGUUCAUGCUUCACUCGUUAGAAAGACCCAGCCUCGCUCACAUGCGUACACUUCCAUCUCAUUUUCGAAUUUGUUACCGAAAGUUUUUCAUGUUAUUAUUUCCUACUCUGUUGAUUAUCUGUGCUAUCCCACUUUUCUUUCUCAAUAUUUCAUAUAUUAAAAGAAGAAACCUUAAUGUAGGUCUCUUGGUUUUAUUGAACCCACUGUUCACUCAGCAAUUCUCUUGCGUCUUCUGAAGGCGCUCUCUGCUCCCCGUACUCACUGUGGGCUGAUUGUUUCAUAACCCCAUGUAGGUGGCGCUCGCUCAAGUCAUUUUUAGCCUUCAUUCUUUUCUAAUAUAAUUUUUAAUGCUGUAAAAUGUUCUUUAAAUGUAUCACUUGAGAUGUAUUCCAUAGUAAUAUGUGAUGUUUUAUUUCUGUAUCUUCUAAAACAAUUCUUACUAAGGGGAAAAUCAAGUAAAUAUUAUUUGUCUUCUUUCUGCCAGCAGACAAACCAGAAUCUUCAUG